rnacentral:rRNA from 1 species
UAGGAAUCUUGGACAAUGGGCGCAAGCCUGAUCCAGCCAUGCCGCGUGAGUGAUGAAGGCCUUAGGGUUGUAAAGCUCUUUCAGCGGGGAAGAUAAUGACGGUACCUCCAGAAGAAGCCCCGGCUAACUACGUGCCAGCAGCCGCGGUAAUACGUAGGGGGCAAGCGUUGUCCGGAAUCAUUGGGCGUAAAGCGCGUGUAGGCGGUUCAGUAAGUCCGCUCUGAAAGCCCGGGGCUCAACCCCGGGAGGCGGGUGGAUACUGCUGGACUAGAGUACGGAAGAGGCGAGUGGAAUUCCCGGUGUAGCGGUGAAAUGCGCAGAUAUCGGGAGGAACACCUAUUGCGAAGGCAGCUCGCUGGGACGUCACUGACGCUGAGACGCGAAAGCGUGGGGAGCAAA